rnacentral:rRNA from 1 species
AUUGAACGCUGGCGGCAGGCCUAACACAUGCAAGUCGAACGAGGGGCGGACGGGUGAGUAAUGUCUGGGAGACUGCCCGAUGGAGGGGGAUACCUACUGGAAACGGUAGUUAAUACCACCUACCAUUGGAUGUGCCCAGAGGGGAUUAGCUUGUAGGUGAGGUAAAGGCUUACCCAGGCGACGAUCCCUUGCUGGUCUGAGAGGAUGACCAGCCACACUGGAACUGAGACACGGUCCAGACUCCUACGGGAGGCAGUAGUGGGGAAUAUUGGACAAUGGGCGAAAGCCUGAUGCAGCCAUGCCGCGUGUAUGAAGAAGGCCUUCGGGUUGUAAAGUACUUUAAGCGGGGAGGCGUUACCAACAGAAGAAGCACCGGCUAACUCCGUGCCAGCAGCCGCGGUAAUUC